GGAGGAUGUUGGGAAUCCCCGCACGCCGCGCUCAGUGUUCGGAACCCCGCAGCUGCUGCGCUCGCUUCGCCUGCGUCUGCGCCUACUGAAGGGUUGCUGUAGGGACGGAAGGCAGCGAGGACUUUAAGAUUCGCGGGACCGCUGUUAGUACAGUAGCCACAAGUGAGAAAAAGCCAGCCUCAGAAUCUGCUCCCUUUGGUGAAGAUACUCAGCAAGUUCUUGUCACAGUAGCAUCCGUCAGGAUUGCCUCUUCAAAACUGGAUCCAAAGUGUGCAAAGCAAAGAAAAGAUGAAUAAAUGAAGGGAUUCCCCAGAGGCCCAUGGGGCACAAUAGGCAGAACAGUGGAGCCCCGGCCUCUCCUGGAUUCGUCCGUUCAGGAAUGGACAGAAUAUCAACCAUUUAUAAAAGUCCAAACGUUUUAAAAAGUGGAUUCAAAUAUAAGCUACAUUAUUUCCAGUAUGAAUAGAGAAACUUAAACAACUGCCAGAGUCAAGGAGGGAAACACUCUCCAUUCAGCCCCUUCUUCAUUCCCAUUUGGAAAGAGCAUCGGCUGCUCCCUCUACUCACGUCUCUGUAUCUUUUCAUGAAGCCAGGACGGUGCUGAAGUCAAGUGGCCAUCACACAAGUCCCCACAAGUCAAGGCAAUGGUCCCUCGAGACAGGGUCCUUUCACAAUUAGAGAAAAAGACUAACACCAUAUGCUUCAUUUCAACACCUUACAAUGUGCUUCUGACAGCACACAAACUUACUCUUAGCUGACUA